rnacentral:rRNA from 2 species
UGGAUCCAGACUUUGAUCCUGGCUCAGGAUGAACGCUAGCUACAGGCUUAACACAUGCAAGUCGAGGGGAAACGAUAGAGAAAGCUUGCUUUUUCUAGGCGUCGACCGGCGCACGGGUGAGUAACGCGUAUCCAACCUGCCCACCACUUGGGGAUAACCUUGCGAAAGUAAGACUAAUACCCAAUGAUAUCUCUAGAAGACAUCUGAAGGAGAUUAAAGUUUUAUCGGUGAUGGAUGGGGAUGCGUCUGAUUAGCUUGUUGGCGGGGUAACGGCCCACCAAGGCGACGAUCAGUAGGGGUUCUGAGAGGAAGGUCCCCCACAUUGGAACUGAGACACGGUCCAAACUCCUACGGGAGGCAGCAGUGAGGAAUAUUGGUCAAUGGGCGAGAGCCUGAACCAGCCAAGUAGCGUGCAGGAUGACGGCCCUAUGGGUUGUAAACUGCUUUUAUAAGGGAAUAAAGUGAGAGUCGUGACUCUUUUUGCAUGUACCUUAUGAAUAAGGACCGGCUAAUUCCGUGCCAGCAGCCGCGGUAAUACGGAAGGUCCGGGCGUUAUCCGGAUUUAUUGGGUUUAAAGGGAGCGUAGGCCGGAGAUUAAGCGUGUUGUGAAAUGUAGAUGCUCAACAUCUGCACUGCAGCGCGAACUGGUUUCCUUGAGUACGCACAAAGUGGGCGGAAUUCGUGGUGUAGCGGUGAAAUGCUUAGAUAUCACGAAGAACUCCGAUUGCGAAGGCAGCCCACUGGAGCGCAACUGACGCUGAAGCUCGAAAGUGCGGGUAUCGAACAGGAUUAGAUACCCUGGUAGUCCGCACGGUAAACGAUGGAUGCCCGCUGUUGGUCUGAAUAGGUCAGCGGCCAAGCGAAAGCAUUAAGCAUCCCACCUGGGGAGUACGCCGGCAACGGUGCAACUCAAAGGAAUUGACGGA